rnacentral:rRNA from 1 species
GACGUAGGGUCCAAGCGUUGUCCGGAUUUACUGGGCGUAAAGGGCGCGUAGGCGGUCAGCACAAGUCAGUUGUGAAAUCUCCGAGCUUAACUCGGAAAGGUCAACUGAUACUGUGCGACUAGAGUGCGGAAGGGGCAACUGGAAUUCUCGGUGUAGCGGUGAAAUGCGUAGAUAUCGAGAGGAACACCUGCGGCGAAGGCGGGUUGCUGGGCCGACACUGACGCUGAUGCGCGAAAGCCAGGGGAGCGAACGGG